GGGCCGGUUGCCUAGCCCGGAUAGGGCACCAGCCUUCUAAGUUGGAUUUCGAGGGUUCAAGUCCCUCCCGGCCCGCCA
rnacentral:tRNA from 1 species